GAACGCGAAGAACCUUACCAGGUCUUGACAUCCUUUGACCACUCUAGAGAUAGAGCUUUCCCUUCGGGGACAAAGUGACAGGUGGUGCAUGGUUGUCGUCAGCUCGUGUCGUGAGAUGUUGGGUUAAGUCCCGCAACGAGCGCAACCCUUAUUACUAGUUGCCAGCAUUGAGUUGGGCACUCUAGUGAGACUGCCGGUGACAAACCGGAGGAAGGUGGGGAUGACGUCAAAUCAUCAUGCCCCUUAUGACUUGGGCUACACACGUGCUACAAUGGAUGGUACAACGAGCAGCGAACUCGCGAGGGUAAGCGAAUCUCUUAAAGCCAUUCUCAGUUCGGAUUGUAGGCUGCAACUCGCCUACAUGAAGCCGGAAUCGCUAGUAAUCGCGGAUCAGCACGCCGCGGUGAAUACGUUCCCGGGUCUUGUACACACC
rnacentral:rRNA from 1 species